rnacentral:rRNA from 1 species
UUCGUUUUUCUGCUCCUUCGUUUGGUUUGUAAACCAGCCGUUUUCUUCUUCUUAUUCUCGUUUAAGUUGUAAGUAUACGCAGGUGCACAGUGCCAGAGAUGGUUUUUAAUACUGUGUUACACACAUGGGCAUCGUUUUCCGGUGAUCCGCCCGCCGUCCACCUCCUCAGUUUCCGCCUUCGAAACGGACGGCCGGUACCGGUACGGCAGGUGGCGCAGAACGACGAAGCGGAGGAGGAGGGGGGUACAGGCCGGGGCAGGGGAGGCUGAGGCGGAGGAGGACUGGGUGUGGUGGUAGUGGAGCUCGGGGCGCGCGUAGGCGGAGCAGAGGGCCUUGGGGGAGGCCGCGAGGAAGAGCAGGAGGCUCGGCCGCGGGCCACAGCGGCCGCUGCUCCCCCCUAUACACCUGUCCCUCCAUCUCCUCCUGGCCCUGCUCGCCAUGCCCAAGCUCUACCUCCACGCCUUCGACGGCCCCUUCUUCUUGGCGGCCGACCACGCGCGCGCCCACGCCCAGCCGCGCGGCGAGGUCCGGCAGACCCGGUGCGAGUGGCUGAUGCUCCCGGAGCGGCCUAAGUAGGGGCCGGAGAGGCUCACGGCGGAGGAGGUGGUCCUGUUUCGGAAGCGGGCGGAGAUGGUCCAGCCCCUCGUCCUAGACCGCGACCCCAAGUUCAAGUUGCGGUUCCCGUGGUAGCUGACGAUGCUCCCUCUCUACCUCGACGAGGGCCUCAGGGCCCGCGCGGCGGCCCUCUAGCUGAAGUUGUACCAGCUGCCGCUAAAGUUCCAGAAGGUCCCGUUCACCAGACAGGUCCUCCAGCUACUACGAUGACUUCCACCCCUUUAAAGUAGUCCCGUCCUUAAAGUCUGGUGCGAAAGAAUACACCACCUCGAUCUCGGAUUCGAGACCCAAGGUCAAGCCGAUGACCUUCCCUCCUAGACGUUCCUCUAGUUUUGGUUGGAAUAAACAUAGGCUCUUCUUCGUCUCUUCCAGGUUUCCAAUGACCUGCUCACUAUUGAUCCUACUUAGGACUUCCGAAAGAAUGUUACGGCAAGAACUAAUAUCAAGGCACAGGCGAUGAAUUGUCUCCCUUAGUCUAUUUGUUUUUAGUCGUACGAAGAACGUAGCUCCACUACACCUUACCGGGGGUCAACACAACUGUACCGACCUAUUGGUUACCUCCCUGGAGUGGACUUGGCUCAGAACGUCAAAUCCUAAACAAAAACGAUGAAGUAACUUCUCACCUGUUGAGUGCUAUGUAUUAAAACAAUCUUCUACAACCGUCCUACCAACUGACAUUACGUAUCUCUCGUUUGUGAACAGGUCAACAAAAACAACAUUACAGUAGAGACUAUACUAAGAUGUACAUACGUUUAAGUAAGACAUUAUAUUAUGUCGUCUAUUUAAUAGUCAAGGAAACUAUGUCAACUUGUUAUUUCAUCAAGUCUUGUUCAAUGGUUAGGCUGGUACCCUAUUGAACAACAGAACAAUUGAAAACAGGGGUUUUGUAUACGAUCUGACGCGGAAAAGAAAGAAAUAAAAGAAGAGUAAAAGAGUACGUUAAAUCAUGGAUUUAAAUAUAAAGUGAAAAAAACGAACCACAUUGAAAACAACAAGGUACACCAAAAAGGAAACCAGGCCGGUAUUACGGAGAAGAGUCUAGUUCUUUUCUCUUCUUUGAUUAGUCUGAAGUCUCACUCUACGAUGUUACUCCACUGCUCCUACUCAGGACACGUCCAGGCCCUCGUCAUAGACUGCGACCCCGAGUUCAAGUUGCGGUUCCCGCGGUAUCUCACGAUGUUCCCCCUCUACCUCCACGAGGACCUCAGGGCCCGCGCGACGGCCCUCUGGCGGAAGUUGUACUAGCUGCCGCUAAAGUUCCAGAAGGUCCCGUUUACCAGACAGGUCCUCCAGCUACGAUGAUGACUGCUUCCACCCCUUCAAGGCUAAUCGGUCCUUAAAGUCUGAUACGAAAGAAUACACCACCUCGACCUCGGAUUCGAGACCCAAGGUCAAUCCGAUGACCUCCCUUCCUAGACGUUUCUCUAGUUUUGGUUGGAACAAACAUAGUCUCUUCUUCGUCUCUCCCAGGUUUCUAAUGUCCCCCCGAUCCAUUGGCUUUAUUUG